rnacentral:rRNA from 1 species
UACGGAGGGUGCGAGCGUUGUCCGGAAUCACUGGGCGUAAAGGGCGUGUAGGUGGCGGGUCAAGCGUGCGGUGAAAGCUCGGGGCUCAACCCCGAGUCGGCCGUGCGAACUGGCCUGCUUGAGCACUGUAGAGGCAGAUGGAAUUCCGGGUGUAGCGGUGGAAUGCGUAGAGAUCCGGAAGAACACCGGUGGCGAAGGCGGUCUGCUGGGCAGUUGCUGACACUGAGGCGCGACAGCGUGGGGAGCAAACAGG